CAGCAGCGCGGGAAUACGAAGGGGGCUAGCGUUGCUCGGAAUGACUGGGCGUAAAGGGCGCGUAGGCGGCGAUCAAAGUCAGGCGUGAAAUUCCUGGGCUCAACCUGGGGGCUGCGUUUGAUACUUGAUUGCUAGAGUGGGGAAGAGGGUCGUGGAAUUCCCAGUGUAGAGGUGAAAUUCGUAGGUAUUGGGAAGAACACCGGUGGCGAAGGCGGCGACCUGGUCCUUGACUGACGCUGAGGCGCGAAAGCGUGGGGAGCAAACAGGAUUAGAUACCCCGGUAGUCCCUGUCUCUUAUACC
rnacentral:rRNA from 1 species